rnacentral:rRNA from 1 species
AGUGAACGCUGGCGGUAGGCCUAACACAUGCGAGUCGAACGGCAGCACAGUAAGAGCUUGCUCUUACGGGUGGCGAGUGGCGGACGGGUGAGGAAUACAUCGGAAUCUACUUUUUCGUGGGGGAUAACGUAGGGAAACUUACGCUAAUACCGCAUACGACCUACGGGUGAAAGCAGGGGAUCUUCGGACCUUGCGCGAUUGAAUGAGCCGAUGUCGGAUUAGCUAGUUGGCGGGGUAAAGGCCGACCAAGGCGACGAUCCGUAGCUGGUCUGAGAGGAUGAUCAGCCACACUGGAACUGAGACACGGUCCAGACUCCUACGGGAGGCAGCAGUGGGGAAUAUUGGACAAUGGGCGCAAGCCUGAUCCAGCCAUACCGCGUGGGUGAAGAAGGCCUUCGGGUUGUAAAGCCCUUUUGUUGGGAAAGAAAAGCAGCAGGUUAAUACCCCGCUGUUCUGACGGUACCCAAAGAAUAAGCACCGGCUAACUUCGUG